rnacentral:rRNA from 1 species
AUGAAGACGUGUAAGACGGUGUCUACAUGCACCCCAGUGGAGGAGGCUCAACGUACGCAUGUGUUUGAUAUCUUGGGUUAUAGCAAGCACAAGGGCAUGGGCCAUGGCGUGGAUGGCCGCAUACGCUCAGGGGUUUUCUCCGUCGGCGGCCACGACUGGGUGAUCUUCUUCUUCCCCGACGGGUAUAGAGGACAUGGUCUAGAUUACAUAUCGGUUUUCCUCAUGCUUUCGAGCAACAACGCUAAGGUUCGGGCGUCCUGCGACAUGAGGCUGGUGGACCGGUACACCGGAUUCUCAUCUUCGGUGCAUAAAACAGGACCUAGGAUUUUCAAUUCUGGUGAUAUUAGUAAGUUUGCUCCACAGUCUAAUUGUUUCAUAAGGCACAGUGAGAUCGAGGGAUCCGCAUACCUUAGGGAUGAUUGCCUGACGAUCGAAUGCGUCGUCACUGUUUUCAACAAGCCACAUGUUACCCAAACAAAACCAUUCCCUAAAAUCGACAUGCCACCAGCUGACAUGGCUGAGCAUGUUAGCAAGUUGCUUGAAGAAAAGCAGGGAUUUGAUGUCAGCUUCAUCGUCGAAGGAGAGACCAUUGAAGCGCAUAGGUUUGUUCUCGCUAUGCGCUCGCCUGUUUUCAAAGCAGAGCUCUAUGGGUCGAUGCAGGAGGCGAGGCCGGGGCAAUGCAUAACCAUCAUGGACAUGCAACCUGAUGUUUUCAAGGCCCUACUCCAUUUCAUCUAUACGGACUGUUUGCCUAGCGGUGAGGAUACCGAGAUGGUCCGGCUUUUACUAGUGGCUGCGGACAGAUAUGCAAUGGACAGGCUCAAGCUGGUUUGCCAAAGCAUCUUGUGCGAGGAUCUGAACAAGGACACCGUGGCAAUCACAUUGGCUUUAGCUGACCAACAUAAUUGCCACCGGCUUAAGAAUGCUUGCCUUGAAUUUAUCGAAUUAUCAAAUUUCACGGAUGCUCUGGUGGCUACACGACGGUUAAAGGAUAUCAAGAAGACUUGCCCAUCUUUCAUAGUGGACGAAUUGGAGAAGAGAACAAAGCGUCGUAGAGCAUGA